ensembl:lncRNA
UGACUAUGGUAACUUGAGUAACAAUGAGAACCAUGUGCAUCCUCGCUGAACACUAUUCAUGGUCAGAAUCCAUGGCAAGUUUUAUGUUUGUAGCCUGCAAAGCACCAAGGCAUCUGAGAGGCAGAAAUAUCUAAAGGGAAACAGGAAGGAGGAGGAGGAGAUUUUCUACAAGAAGGGUGACUGCCCCUUUUCUCCAGGCCCUUUCUGUCUUCCUCUGGGGUCUGCUGCUUCUCUACACAACACUGGGACCCAGAGAAGAAUGGCUCCUCUGUUUGCCAGCCUGCCUGCAUAUUGCAUCCAUUGCUCCUGCCAGCCAGCCUUUCAGAUAAUUCCAUAUUGGAAGCAAGUUUCAAGGCUAAGAAGUUAUUACUGUCUUUACCGGAACAAAAUCUUUAAUAUGACGCUGAGAAAAAUUAAUAAUAAAGGAAGAUGUUUUACGUUAUAUCAGUUUGAAAAUAGAAACCCCUUCCAGUUAUUUGAACAAAGGGAAUUCAAUAUUUUUAAAAGUUAACUAGAUAUAAAGUUGUUAACCAGAUAAUUGAAAAGGUUAAAAGAGAACUGUAGAAAUCAGCAAAUGUUUUCUAUAUAGGACCAGAUAGUAAAUAGUUUGGAUUCUGUAGGUCAUCAAGAUUAGCUGAGACUCUGCGGUUGGAGCAAGAAAGCAGGAGCUUCAGACAGAAGGAUUAAGCCUGGGUAUGUUCCAAUAAAACUUCAUUUACAAAAACA